UAUCCAAUUUGCCAUUGUUUUACAAGUCGUGAUCUGUCUUGUAUGUUAUGAGAUAUAUUACAUUUCAAAUUGUAGAUACCACAAGCACUUCAGUUUCAUCAUUGGCCAGUAAUGUUUCCUGUGUAACAUGGUGGCACCAAUGUAGUAGGAGUUAUAAAAAAUGUUUGCAACGUUUUGAUUGUGGUACUUCAUAUCAUUUUAAACAAUAUUUUCCUUCACUAUUGAAGCCAGAACAUCAAGUAAACAAAAAUCUAUAUAAGUGGGCCUGCUUGGCUUCGUAUCUCAUUACCUGAAAGAACCAAAAUGGAAAUCCUUUAACACAAGACGGUGUUACCAGAAUUCUCACUGUAUAUGUUGCAUUUCACCCUCAGGAAGUACUAUGGUGGGUUACUGGUCUGAGAGAUGAUAUAAAAUUUGCUCUAGCACUUUUACAAGCAGAAAGCACUCCAUAGAUUUAAUAAGUCUCCACUACACACAAUGUGCAAUGGAACAAGUGGUUUGCGUAGCUGAAUGUAAUGUAACAUGCUGCCAUUCAACCCGAGUUAAACUUUAUCAUUUAUCUCUCUCUACUGACUAGGUAAUUACUGUACAAAAUUUCACAAACUGAAGAUAUAUUACAUUUUUUAAACAAUGUAACACAAUUGCAACUGGUUAAAACACUGAAGUUCAACACAGACUGGCACACACUUACUGAUGGAUAUUUCGCUGCCAGGCACACAGUGCUAGGUGCUAGGCUCUGCUGUGGCCUCAAGUGGCUAGGUAGUGUCAGGCAUCUAGUUCUACUGUAGCUGCCUGCAGCCACAUGGCAGACAGUGUGUUCAAGAAAUAAAAAUGUAUUUCUUAUUGAAGUUAUAAUAGAAAAUCUCAUUUAAAAAUGUGUCCAGAAAUAGAGCCAGGCCAUCCCCUUGCCGAAAAGUACAAUACAAACCUAUUCAUUGGUUGCUUCAGCAACACAAAGGAGUGUGCAGACAAUGGUGAUUUGCUGUGCUUCUCAUAAUACACCACGGGAUGCUACAUGGACACAAUCAUGUAGCCCAUUAUUUUAGCCAGGAUGUGCAAUUAUUCUGUGCAAACUUGUAUAGAUGUAAAAAAUAAUGAUGGCACUCUAGCAAAAUUAGGCCUGUACACAAAUGAAAAUCAAUGGUAUGCUGGUAAGAGCUGGCAGUUUAUGAAUCUCACAUAUUUCUGUACCAUACAUGCAUGGUUAAGAAACAUACCUGCUACACCUAGUACUAAAAGAGAAAUAAUGUUGUGGGGAGUUUUUAAUGUAUGUUACUUAACUGAAAGUGCUAAGAAAGGCCUUAGUUGUACAGUGUUUUUGCAGUUUAGAACCAGUUAGAGAGGUACAGUGAAAAAUCUGCAACCAUAAACUCUAGCUUAUGACAGUCUCCUGUAUAUAUAGUACUGACAGUUUAAUAUUAAACAUGCAUAGAUGAGUUCUCAUCACAAUUUCAAGGGGUAUUUCCACAGUCACCAAAAAAUUGCCAAUCUUCAUAAAUGAUGAAUUAAGGAAAACAAUCAUUAAUGCAAAAAAAGGAGCUUAAUAUUACUGUUUCAGUAUCUAAGAUGACAAAAUUAUUUGCUUCAAAUUGUAGCAACGGUUAGUACUUCAAAAGGAAACAGAUGCCUGAAAAAUAAUGAAAACUCCUUUGGAAACACAGCAGAGAAGCCCAGCCCCAUGAAAGUCUGCCCUCCCAUACCCUGGCAAUUACUGUCUUGAUCUGCAUCCCUUCCUCCGUGCCCUUCUGUAAAAGUGUAGCUAGGAGCUUUGUCCAUACGGGCUUUUGGUUCCCUCAUCUCCAUGAACAUGCAAAUAUGGUCAAAGGCUUAGGAUAAAGAGUAUUCUGUGCACACACUGUUUACUGUUACCCUUAAUCUCGGUACAGUGCUUGCCAGUGUGUCAUGAUAACAGUUAUCAAACAUAAUUUUAAUCACAAUAAAUAAAACAGAGAAUGAUUGACACCAGACUGAAUUGAACAUUUGAUAUUCUACUACAUUUGUAGAAGAGACCAAGCUCUGCGACUUUUGCUUUAAUGCCACGAAGUUGACUAUGGUUUUAUGCCAUCGAAGAAUGAAGGUCCUCAGUGUCCUAGCACAAAAUACUCCGUCACAAGUGUGGCUAAAACGACUGCAAAUAUCCUUUCUGAGACUGAGGGAACGGCAAUGAACAAUGUCUACUAAAUUCUGUGGGGGUGCACAGAAAAAACAAUACUAAAACAAUGUUGUCUCACUAUUAAAACAGUCUCCAAUAUCAGUAUCUGGAUGCAAACAAAUGAAAUACUUGUAUGGGCUUCCAAGCUAUUUUCCAAAGAAGCUAACUACUUUCCAUUCAGUAUUAGCAUAUCAGGAUACAUUCCAAAUAGAGAUGAGCAAUUUAUAAAUGAUACAGUACACAAAAAGAAAUUCAGUGAUGCACUUUUUUAAAACAAUACAAAUUGUUGCUGUUUACAAAAUCCACCCUGCCCCUCAGGGUAAAAAAAGGUUUAGAAGCUGCAUAUAUAUUAUGCCAACCAAAUCACAGUUACCUCAAUAUUUAGUUUGUGAAUUAUGUUUAAUCUCCUACUACCACUCAGGUAGCCAUAUGUUAUUUUAACUUUUUUUAACACAUUAUUGCACACUAUUGAUACAGUUCUGUAUGUAUGGAUCCAUGACUGAGUAUGACUGGAGACAGUACACUGCUCUUAAUGAAAACAGUAGAACAAUACAUACAUUUUCAGAAAAAUAGCAUUCACAUGAGAGUACCGAUAAUUGUUUCAUAAUUUAUUUAAUAAUCUAUUUGCAUUUCUUUUUAAUUAGUCCUUAUUUUUAAAUAGUCGUCUGAACAUCCACGUUCAAUUCUGAAAUUGCAGAUACGGCGUGGGAAUGAAUGUUCUAAAUGAUGUGCUGAGUCAUUUCAUAUAUUCAGCAGCAAAUAUAGAGAAAGAACUCUUUUGAGUCUGUGACAACCUUCGUUUUUUAAUCAGACUUUGGUGAAUAUGUUGCAACAAACCAAUUAAUGCGUUUUUCGAUUCUAUGUGCAAUUUUCUGGAGUACUCUGUUACAUCAUUAAUCAACUAGGGAAAGCACGUAAAAUUUGGCAAAUAUAACUGGAAGACAUAUCGUAUGCAUAUUUUGCCAAGGAAACGAACAGACACAGUAUAGUUUAUUAGUAUACAAGAGAAAACAUUCUUUUCUACACGUUAACUACAUAGUUUUAUUGCGUGGUUAACACACAGUCCUCCCUCUCGGAGACUCCAUUUCAGAAUGCACCCGAACGGCCGUGGCUGGCCUAAACUUUCAUAUCAACUCUAUUUGUACUCUGCGAUCGACGUAUCGACAUACUUCGCGAACGCUGGGCUACGUCAUUUUGACGUCACUUCCUUAGCUCGUUCGGGUGAAACGAAGCUCUCCCUUUCCGGUAGUUAUUGGUCGAACACGUGUGUUAAAUGUAUCAGUAAAACGGCUGUGCGGGGAACUUAAAAUUGGCUACUUGUGCCAUGCCGACAUCAAAUUUGGAGCAAGUGGAAGUUCUUUUCAUGAAAUACACUCCUGGAAAUGGAAAAAAGAACACAUUGACACUGGUGUCUGACCCACCAUACAAUCAGGACUGCAUACGACCGAGGCACACAGGGCCAACACCCGGCAUCAUGGUGUGGGGAGCGAUCUACACUGGCCGUACACCUCUGGUGAUCGUCGAGGGGACACUGAAUAGUGCACGGUACAUCCAAACCGUCAUCGAACCCAUCGUUCUACCAUUCCUAGACCGGCAAGGGAACUUGCUGUUCCAACAGGACAAUGCACAUUCGCUUGUAUCCCGUGCCACCCAACAUGCUCUAGAAGGUGUAAGUCAACUACCCUGGCCAGCAAGAUCUCCGGAUCUGUCCCCCAUUGAGCAUGUUUGGGACUGGAUGAAGCGUCGUCUCACGCGGUCUGCACGUCCAGCACGAACGCCUGGUCCAAUUGAGGUGCCAGGUGGAAAUGGCGUGGCAAGCCAUUCCACAGGACUACAUCCAGCAUCUCUACAAUCGUUUCCAUGGGAGAAUAGCAGCCUGCAUUGCUGUGAAAGGUGGAUAUACACUGUACUAGUGCCGACAUUGUGCGUGCUCUGUUGCCUAUGUGUUGUAUGUUGAGAAUAUAGCCUGCAUCGGGAAGGUCCAGGAUGAGCAGGUGAUGGCACGGAGGUGAUGGGAGAGGAGCAGGGAUAAAUUAAGCUGUUUAUGAGAAAGAUUGUCUACUAUUGCAAAAAGCUGACACUGUGAUGUUUUGCAUCUGAUAUACUGUAUCCGUGUGGAUUAAGGUGCAAUAUAAGAAAUGGAGCAUUAAUUAAAUAGAACUGCACCGUUCCGGUUUUUUGAUGCAGUUUGUUUUUGGUGUGGUUGAGGUCUCGGGAUGGCUUCGAGUAUCAUAUCAUAUGACUUGUGGUCAAAUUUCAAAUGAUACCAGCAUGUGGAAGAUGAAAACAUGCAGGAUGUCAUGACAUGUAAAAGUUGUAAUGAGCUGCAGAAUUAGUGGCAGUUUGCUGUUGCUAAAGGGUAUUGUUUUCUGGGAAUACAAUGGACAGACAGAAUAACAUAAAUGUUUGUAGCAGAGUAGGCAUAAUGAUGAUGUUUUCUGGGGGCAGCAUCACUUUUCAAGAUAAUUUGCCAUAUCACAAGGUCUGGAGUUUGAUGGAAUGUUUGUGGAACAGAGUGGUGAGUUCCAAUUGAUGUGCUGGUGCCCAGCGAGAUGUGAACCUGAUCGGACACAUGGGAUGUGACUGAACAUGGCGUUAGAGCUAGUCAUCUCCCUUCCUCGAAUUUACAGGAAUCUGGUGACAUGUAUGCAGAUGUUAAACUCCCUCCAGCAACCUUCCUCUGUCUGAUUGCUUCCAUGCCACGAUGUGUCACUGAUGUUAUCCGUGCCAAAGGUGGACAAACCAUAUUGUAAACUGUAAAGUAAAAUUCUUUGUUACACUGAAAAUGUAUCACAACAGAAACGCCAUCUAGAAAAUGGUAGAAAACUGGCAACAAGCAGCUCAUGCACUCAUGAUAGCCUCUAAAGACACAAAUGUCUACAAUGCCGAUGAAAGUGUAUUCAACAAGGAGAUGACUGUGGGCCGCACUCAAGCACUCAGAGGUUCUAAAGAGAUUGUAGGAGUUGUACAGUUUGUUCACAUGACAACUCAUGCGUACAUAAUUACUCCAUCACUUUCACAGAUGGGCAGACAUGCCCUAAGGCUUUUGUUGCACUUCGGGAGUCUUGUUCCUUGAGUUUUCGUACAUGUCAGUCCGUGUUCCCAACACCAAAUUUAAUUGUCCAUUCUCACUCCUCCAGCAAAAUGACCAAAGAAUUGUUGAGACAAGAAAUGGCAGGGGAAAAAAUCAGUGGAGAGAAACUUCUGCUUGUACUGGAUUCUUACAGGCCGCAAUAAGACACUAGUGUUCCUUAUGAUCUGCACAAACAAAAUAACCUAUCAGAAGACAAAAUCACAAUUCACAUAAUUUCAACUGACACAUCAAUUCUCACUGCCAUGGCUGGAUAAUGGCUUAACCUGUUGAUGAACCCAAAUGCUUUGAAACUUUGACAGAGUUCCAUUUCAGAUACAAGCUUUCAUUCAGAAAUGUACAGAGUAAAUGCACGAAUGUGAGAUUCAUCAAAUCUGCUUUAUGUAUGAAAGUAAUUUGCUUCACACACUUCCUCGUAUGCAACCAUUAUUGUAAGUCUUAGUUUCUGAAUGAAUGUCAUGGGAGGGGGGCGACUGUCGUGUCCCACCAACGAGUCCUGAGAGGGAUUAGGAAAGACUGCACAAAUGUGUCAUAAAACUCGCCAUCAAGGCACGGCAAAAACACUUCUGCUAGUGGGCCACCUGCACUUCACUUGGUUGGCUGAAAAGUGAGCUAUUGAGUGGGUUAAAGUACGGAACUUCGCAGGAAUCUCGAUGAUUCGAGGAGGAUAUCAUAAAUUGAGAGAUACUAUUACUGGAAGCACCCACUGGCAUAUUCCCUGUGUACAAGUCUAUCUACAAAGUGUAUUCAUUUGGUUAUAAGACUUCCUAUUCUUCCCUGAGCCUAACUCUUGUCGUGCAGAGGUGAGCAUGCUGGCCUGUGUUCACUACACCGAAUUCUUCUAAGUCCAGCCCCUGUAACACAGUGACACUUGCUAACUUCCUCCCAACGACUAUACAACGAUCUUUCCAGUAGGGUGGGGAGCCCCUUUAUAGGCAUCUUUGUGCACGGCCCCAUCCUUCUGGAAGCUGCUUGUACUUACACAGGCGGGGCCAAUCACGCGGGAGCGAGACACCCGUAUGGUAUUUCCAUAUUGACUGUCAAAAGAUCACCUUUCCUUGCUUACUCAGAGCCUUGUGAUGCUACAGUCUGCUCUUGUUGGCAGAAAAACUAGUAAACAGUGGCUGCGUCUGCUCAUGUAUGCGCCUUUGCUACUCUGGCUAAGAAUUUAUGUUCUACUUUACUACUGAAUUUAGCUUGUUUUCCUGCAAUUCAUGACAGUGCACACAUUCAGGUGGUGGAGAUGUGGGAAAUAUAUUGAAUCUUGUUAGUAGAUCCGUCAUUACUGCAUUUUCCGCUCUUGCACAGGAAAUCCAUUUUUGGAAGUCCCACGUCCAUUAAACAGAUGGUACACUGUCACAUUUUUGCAUUUUCCUUCCUGCUUAGCACAUUCAAAUUUGGCAUAUUGGUACUGUUUGACCCCUGCAAUUUUUGCGGCCAAGAGUUGAGGGUGGUGGAGGCAGGGCGUUCGCAGCUGUGUUGUGCAAAAAUAUGCAGGGACACAGUGCUGUUCAGUGUGGGCAAGUGUGCAAGUCUUAUAGAUCAUUUGCUAUGGUAGAAAAAUAAUGUGUGGAAGAAGUUUGUAUAGGUUGAUUGUAGCUCUAACGGCUUCUUCUAAUAGUAAAUACCAUGGUAAACAAAUGAAAAAUAAUGGGAGACGCAUGUUUGGAAGGAGAAAGUGGCAAAUGAAAAGAGUGCACGACAGCCCCCUAAAGUGGAUAAAGGAAACACAUACUCCCAACAUUUCAAUUGAUGGUACAUUGAUUCAUGCUAAAGCAGUGUAUUGGUGCAAAAGUGGAGACUUGCACAUUAAGGCAUCCAGUGGUUGGAUCAAAAGGUUCAAGAACAGACAUAAUUUAGUAUAUAAAUGUGUUAGAGGUGAAGUGUGGACACUGACAACUGAAAUGCACCUCUUUCUCCGGGGGACAAAUAUUAAUUAUCAUCAGUAGUAGUAGUAGUAGUAGUAGUAGUAGUAUGUUGCGCUACAAAUUAUCAUUUUACACCUGUGUGGCCUCCCUGGUGUGCCUAGUCGACCACAAGUCCCCGUCACUCUGUUCACUCUUAAGAGUACAUACAGGGUUGAAGACAUGGAGAAAGAAAAGUAUCAUCACAAUUUGAAUUUAGGGUAAUAUAACUUUCUUAAUUUCAUUGGUCAUUGUUGCACACCUGUGGUCCAGUGAUAAAUCUUACCAUCCACUGUUUGUUAAAUCCACUUGAGGUCCAGGGUGUGUUUUCUGCUACGUAAAAACUGACACAUAUUUAAACUUCCAACUUCUUAAAAUGCUGAUUGUGACAGUAUUCAAUAGUCUUCAAUGUAAAUGCUGAUUGUGACAGUAUUCAAUAGUCUUCAAUGUAACAGUUUUUCCAAUACAUCAUUUCAUUCCUAAUAUCAUUGACCUUCUCAAACCAAGUGUAUAACAAGACAUCUCAACACCAACUGCCCAUUGUCUCUACCCACACGAACAACUGGCUCCUGUUCACAGAGCUUACAAACUGUACAGUACUGCCAACCUUGGUUGUAUAUUGAUAUUUUACACAUCGCACAUAUACGUAUGUGAAAAGCAUAGUAUGAAAACUGAAAAGCGUUUAUAAUAUAGUUAUGUGGCAAGAUACCUCAUGAUUGUCCUCAUAUUAACAGUUUUGUAACCAUAUAAUAAUAGUUCAGUUUAUGUUUAUGUAGCUAAAGUUCACUUGCUCCGUCAAGUUGAUUGAUGGCACUGCACACCUCGCCAGCCAGUGGUAUCGGUAGUUUCGUGUAGCCCUUUACAUUACACACACCCCUAGAGAUUUCAUGUGAAAGAAUUUCGCAUGAGAUCUCGACAGACUGUCGCGUCCCGGCACAAGUCCCGGAUACCACUAUAGAGCUGGUGGAGCCUGUGUGGCGCAAUCGGGACCUUGACGAAAAUUAAAGGUUUGUGGUUCCCUUUAACUAGCAUUUAUUACGGAGGUGAGAGGGAGUAGAAUCUCCCUGGACUGUCUAAGGGUGUGUAGGAGGUGUAGAUACAUUAGACAGUACUUUCAAUAGGUGGCAGGUUCAAAGGAGGAAUUGGCAGCACUGAACUGUCAAAACAGUAAGGUGAGAUGUCUCCUUAAUGCAAUUUAUUGAACUAAUAUCACAAAGGACAUGUGAGGUGUCAGACCCUUCCCCUUACUCUGUACACUUCUAUAGAUUAAGCCAGAAUCUCCACUUCUCACUCUGUCAACGAUGACUACUCACGAGAACUACCACCUUUGAAUUCACUCUUCGUUUCAAUAAUGGACCUUUAUCCUAUCUUACAGGAGACAAACACCAGCCAGUGGCUUGUUCCUUCUAUUGCUGAAACUAACUGUAGAGGCUACUUGAGACAGAGACAAACUGUCCCUGUUCAAAGCUAAUCCAGUGCAAAACUUCUACUUAACUGACGGUUGUAGUUGCUUCCACCAGAGCAUCACUGUCUUCUCGUAGUUGCAGUUCCUAUAUACUCAUUAUACCCCAGCCGGCGAAACAUUGCACUUGACAGUUCGCUUUUGGUCUAGUUAGGUUGGCUAUACUGUAAUAGCGAUGUUGCAACAGCAGCCUCUAUACACACAGCA